rnacentral:rRNA from 1 species
AGCGGCGGUGAUAACAUGUUGAAUGCACCAGAUCCCAAAAGAUCACUGAAGUUGAGAAACGUUACGCAUGGUUGAUAUCCAGGUGGGUGACCGUCUGGGAAAUCGCUUGCUGCCGGGU